rnacentral:rRNA from 1 species
UACGGAGGGUGCAAGCGUUAUCCGGAUUUAUUGGGUUUAAAGGGUCCGUAGGCGGAUCUGUAAGUCAGUGGUGAAAUCUCACAGCUUAACUGUGAAACUGCCAUUGAUACUGCAGGUCUUGAGUGUUAUUGAAGUAGCUGGAAUAAGUAGUGUAGCGGUGAAAUGCAUAGAUAUUACUUAGAACACCAAUUGCGAAGGCAGGUUACUAAGCAACGACUGACGCUGAUGGACGAAAGCGUGGGGAGCGAACAGG